rnacentral:rRNA from 1 species
CCUACGGGGAGCAGCAGUGGGGAAUAUUGGGCAAUGGGCGCAAGCCUGACCCAGCAACGCCGCGUGAAGGAAGAAGGCUUUCGGGUUGUAAACUUCUUUUCUGGGGGACGAACAAAUGACGGUAUCCCUGGACUAAGCCACGGCUAACUACGUGCCAGCAGCCGCGGUAAUACGUAGGUGGCAAGUGUUAUCCGGAUUCAUUGGGUGUAAAGGGCGUGUAGGCGGGAAUGCAAGUCAGAUGUGAAAACUAUGGGCUCAACCCAUAGCCUGCAUUUGAAACUGUAUUUCUUGAGUGCUGGAGAGGCAAUCGGAAUGCCGGGUGGAGCGGUGAAAUGCGUAGAUAUACGGAGGAACACCAGUGGCGAAGGCGGAUUGCUGGACAGUAACUGACGCUGAGGCGCGAAAGCGUGGGGAGCAAACAGGAUUAGAUACCCCAGUAGUC